AGGGGGGGAGAAUAAGUUUUGGGGAGUUUUUUGAAGAAUCAGAGAGCUAGCUUCAUGCUUCGGGCGGGGAAAAAAGACAGAGAAUUGGGGUUUUUUUUUUCUUCAUAGGGUUUUGGGAAGACUGAGGCAAUCGUUGCUGAAGUCAGUGUUGUAAUAGUGAAUCGAGAUUUUUAAUGAAGUGGAUUUGAUUAUUCUUGACUGUUUUGUGAAAUCGAGUUACGUCUGUGAUGAAGAGUUAAAAGGGUGUCUAUAGGAUUGAGUAUGUGGAGUGAAUGAAAUUUAUUGGGUUAAUCUAACAAGACAGUCAGUGGAUACAAGAUC
rnacentral:lncRNA from 1 species